UACGAAGGGUGCAAGCGUUACUCGGAAUUACUGGGCGUAAAGCGUGCGCAGGCGGUUUUGUAAGUCUGUCGUGAAAUCCCCGGGCUUAACCUGGGAAUGGCGAUGGAGACUGCAAGGCUGGAGUUUGGCAGAGGGGGGUAGAAUUCCACGUGUAGCAGUGAAAUGCGUAGAGAUGUGGAGGAACACCGAUGGCGAAGGCAGCCCCCUGGGUCAAAACUGACGCUCAUGCACGAAAGCGUGGGGAGCAAACAGG
rnacentral:rRNA from 1 species